rnacentral:lncRNA from 1 species
UAGCACUUAAGCAUGCAAGUCACACAAAGCAAUUAAGGCCCUAACUAUUACAUUUGCUAGCUAGGCACAUGUCUUCAAUAGGUCUUCAUCGAAUGCUCCUCCAAGCCCUAUCUAUUACAAGCCAAGAGGUGUACACAUACCCCAUAAAGGAUAACUUGAAUAAAAAGCAAAAGUAAAUGACAUAAAUAAAAGAAAUUAAAGAAAGGCUAGGAAAGCAAAGUAGACAUGUAUAUUCACAUAACACGUAGGAGCACGUAGGAAAAAUAACGCAAGAAUAUAGAAGUUACCUCCCUUGCAAUGGAAAUCGAGUAAAUGAGAUAUUAGCUUCAAAACAAUAAAAAGGUCACGGUACCUCAAAUAGUAAAGUAUAACAAAGUCACCAAAUCCCCCCUAAUUGCAAUUUAAACAAAAUCAAAUAAUACAUAGUUUCUAAUAGAAGGAUCCGCCAAGGACCCAAUUGCAAGCAUAACAUUUGAAUUCCAUCGAGACAAUUAAGAACUUCAAAGGUCCCGAGAGCCAAGGAAAGAUCAAGUAAUGGUUCAAAUUCAAAUAUCUUAGGACAUAAUUUCAAGGACAUGGAAUGUAAUUGGGCCAUAAUGCAUUGUUGCAAAAAUCACGGGGACCCCAUUGAUUAGUUUUCUCAAUUUUGUGGGUCAUAAUAGCAUAAUGAAACUUGGGGGGGUUAAGGGGCAAUUUUUAGAAAAUACUUUCAUGCAGAACAUGCUAUCUUACGAAGGAAAAUCUGCUUCUGCAACUCAAAACAACAUUUCUGCAGCCAAGAAACCAUCGCAAUUUGCAUUUCAUUUCAUUACCUCAAGUAACAACGCUUCUAUCUCAAACAACUAAACACAUCACUAAGCAUUCAUCUCACUUUCCAUCAUAAGACACUUAUGUUUAAACAUCAGAAAUUCGGACAGGAGAUCAUGCAAAGCAUCAAAAUAACAUUCUGCAAUUUUUCCAGCCAACAGCUUUUCAUUCCUUUUCAUGGUGAAAGUGAAUUUUGAUGAAUAUCCAAAUUUUUAAAAGCAAAACGGGCAAACACGGAAAGUUCUAAAUCAUCCAUUCAGCCAAGCAUCACAUUUUUGUUUUGCCGCAAAAUCAGAGCUGGGAGUCUGAGUUGCUUAGCAGCAAAAGGAACGGCAAGAGACGCAAGCUCUUAUGGGCUUGUUGGUUCGGACACUUGAAAUGCAGCAAGGAUGGAAAGCAAGAAACUUAGGAUAGAUAUGCAUAACUGAACCCCAGAUCAUAGACCUUAAUCAAACUAAAACUUAAGCAACAAAACCAGAGAACUUUGACAUCUGAACCAGCAACGAGCACUUCCAAAUCAGGAAAGGAACAUGCCAUUUCCUUCAAUGAUUUCGCCUACAAUUUUCUGGUGUUUACUGCAAGUUUUUCUUUGUUAACAUGUCAAAACUCCGGGGUUAUGAUUUUAAACAACAAGCAUCAUAGAAAAAUCCAAUCAGCAAUCCAACAAAUCUUCACAAAAACAAACCAUGCCCAAAAUAUACAAAACAGGAAAAAGGAAAGCAAUGGCAAGAGAAACAUCAAAGAGCAAACAUGAUGGAACUAUGGAACGAACCAUCAAACCAGCGGCAAAGAGGGUGACGAUUCAUGUAUCUACUUGGCAGAAUCAUGGUUUUCUAGACUACAAAUUCUGGGUUUGCUUGUAACAAUCAGCCAUAAACUUCAAGCAAGACUCAUAGAUUCACCGGAUGAAAUCAUAUAGAAAGCCUAAAUCCCUACCUCAGAACCCAGUCCAAACCCACGAAAUAUUUCACCAAACAGAAACGUAAAACAGUGGCAUCAACCUGAGCACAUUCAUAGCAAAGAUUCACUCCUCAGAAAGUGCAGAAACGGUAUACUUACAGAGAUAAAAACCUGAGAAAUCGAUGGAAGUUGCACAGAUCUAUGGAGGGAAAGUCCUCUCUUCAACAAUUUCCAGGAGUGACGCGUUUGUCACUUCGAGCGUCGAUUCCACAUGCCUGGAGUUGUUUUCGCCCAGCUGAAACCCUCUUGUCCCUUUUCUCGUUCCUUUUCUUGUUCGUUUAUCUCCUUCCUCACUUCCUAACCUAGCCGCUGCACCCCACUAUCUCCUCUAGCGUUUUCUGUUUCCCUCAGCCAUCACCUCCCUAGUUUUCAAAAACCUUUGCUCUCUCUUGUUUCCUUACUCCGCCGCAACUCUUAUCUGCUGCUUCCCCUUCAAGCUCACCGAAAACUCAGCCCUCAAUCUCGUUCUCUCUUUCUUCUCCCGUUUUUCUUUUCAUCAGCUCUCUCCCCUGUCUUAAAAUUUUCUCGCCGUCACUUACUUCCCUUUUAUGCAGCCACCAACCUCUCCAGCCGUUUCCUUUUUGCUUUUCUUUUUCUCGGCCCUCCCAACUCUCUCCUGCGGCUGCUAACCUCCUCUUCUAUUUAUAUGGGCAUCUCCAAUCCCUAAAACCCAGUCCUACUUCUGCAAUUUGCAGCCAAGGGGCUGCCGAACCUUUCCUUUGCAAGUCGCGGCAGCUCGCAUGCCGCGGAGCAAUUUUUCCUUUUCUUUUUUUUUUUUUUGCAACAACAUUAAAAAUAACAGAAAUAAAUAACAAAAAACACUUUAAUUAAUAUUGGAUGAAAAAUAAACUAGAAACAACAAAAAAUGCAAUUUCCAAAUUCCUCUUUUUUUCAUUUUCCAUUUUCAUCGUUUUUUUCCAUUUUUUCCAAGAAAGCAAAGAAUAAAACAAAAAUGAUUAAAACAUAUAUAUAUUUUUUGAAUGUUUUCCUUUUCCCCUUUUUUUCUUUUUCUAGAAACUCUACGCUAAACUUAAAAACUUAUAAAACAAAAACUAAAAACUAAAAAUUAAAAAACUAAAAAGUGAAUAAAACUAAUAUGACAAAUAAAAAUAAAUAGCAAAUGAACUAGACAAAUUAAAAGGGCAAAAUGAGUAAAACUAAAAUGAAAUAACAACUAAAAGUGCAAAACAAACGAUAAUGAACUAAAAAUGCAAACAAUCUAAAACAAAAAUUAUGAAAUAGAUGCAACAUACAAAUUAUUUAAAAUUUGGUGUCUACAGUUUGCCCCUCUUUGUCUGAGUUUUGAAAAAACUUGAGACAAAGAAGUAGACACCAAAUACUUACCUGUGUUAUUUGGCUGCGCACGUCACGAACGGUGGACGCUUCUGAAACGAGGACUGACCUCUUUUGACAAAAACUUUUAAAAUGGAGAGGAUUCAGACAGGAAAUUUAACGCAGGACCGACCCGAACAGGAAAUUUAAAACGGGACUGGCCCGAACAGGAAUUGAAAAUGGGACUGACCCGAACAGAAAUUUAAAACGGGACUGACCCGAACAGAAAUGUAAACGGGACUGACCCGAACAGAACUUAAACGGGACUGACCCGAAUAGAAAUUAAACGGGAUGAAUUGAAGUGAAAUGGAGUGUUGUUGGGGUUGACCCAUGUUUAUUGGUGAUGCAAAUGACAAAAGAGAAAUGAGGUGUUAAUGAGACUGACCCACGUUUCAGAAUUGCAAUGUAGUGCUCACUGGUGGGACUGACCCAUGUUCCAGUGGCGGGGAAAAUGAAAUGCUCACUAGUGGGGACUAACCCACGGCUAGUGGCUAACGAAAAUGUAAUGCGCACUAGUGGGACUGACCCACGGCUAGUGGCUAAGCAAAAUGAAAUGCACACUAGUGGGACUGACCCACGGCUAGUGGCUAAGCAAAAUAGUGGCUAAGCAAAAUGAAAUGCGCACUAGUGGGUCUGACCCACGGCUAGUGGCUGAGCAAAAUGAAAUGCGCACUAGUGGGACUGACCCACGGCUAGUGGCUAAGCAAAAUGAAAUGCGCACUAGUGGGACUGACCCAUGGCUAGUGGCUGAACAAAAUGAAAUGCGCACUAGUGGGACUGACCCACGGCUAGUGGCUGAACAAAAUGAAAUGGGAAAUUCCAGUAUACUUACCCCCAAAAGGCCCAGAAUUUUGCCCCAGUAGAAAUUAGGUUUCUGCAUCUAAACCAAUAGUUGAUUCUGGAUUGUCACGUUGUUGCACUCUAAUCAAACUUGCUUGCAACAUUUUUGAUUUGCCUUUGUUUACUGGAGGAUCUUUCCGAUACUGGCUCCAGUGCAAGGUGUGAUUGUUUCCAUUUGUACACGCAAUUUCCUGUAAAAGAGAAAAAUCAAAGAAAGUGCCACCAUCAUUUGAUCCAUUUGCCUUUGAGAGUCGCGUAAACAUGAGUCUUUUGAUGCCUUCGAUUACUUUUGCUGCGGCAUCUGACUUAGUUGAAUUUGCCACUUUAAAACUUUUCUACCUUUCCCAGACUGACCAAAGAUGCAUUUUUCCAUAUUAUGAGGUCUGCGUAAUGGCUUUACUGAAUCUCAAACAUUUCCGAAAGAUGACUGAAUCCAAGUAUGCUUUGAGUAAAUCAUAGGGGUUGUUAUUCACCAAAAUUCAAUGAUAAAGAAUGAUGUAUUCACAUGUCAUGGAAGAGCGAAUAUGCGCAAGAAUGUACACAUAACCAUUUGUGCUUAAAUGCUACAAAAAUAUCGUGAAUGCCAGUAAUUUUGAAAAAAUGAGCUUCCUAAGAAUGUAUUUGCAAAAGAAUGUUUUACAAAAUGACUCAGCUUUGGCCAAUGGAUGUCAUAUUCAAAUCUCUGAAUAUCUUUGUUCUGGAAUUCAAUAUUGGCAGAAAUAUGACAAAAAUGAGGAGAAAUCCGAAUGAAUCAAACCACCGGUUGUUCCUCCUUGUGCUUACUACCUUGGCGCCCUUUCGGGUUUUCACCAAGGUUGCCCCCCACCUCUUUUGUUUUGCUCUUCUCUUUUUUUCUUUUUUUUUCUCUUUUCUUCUUUUUUUUUUCCUUUGCUUUUGAGUUGCCCUUUUGGGUCUUCAUCUAAGGACAAUGAAGCACCUCAACCAUGAUCGACUCAGACAUGUAAGUUGAAGAUUGCUGGCAUCAGCAAAAUGCACUUCCCUUGUAAGAUUAUGCGAAGGCAUUAUGGACAUCCCUUGCCAGUUGAUUAGCGAAAUUCCCAAUAGAAAUACAACAAGUGACGAAAGCCAGGACUUUGGGCUUUUGUAAUGAGGUCAGGUGGGGUGUUUUUCAAAGAAAGUUGAGGCCUGAAAGCAAAUUUUGAUGAGAGGCGUGAAAUAACCUGAGAUUGCAUCAUUUUGAAAUUAUCUCCAAUUUUUGAACGAAACCGAGGAAAUUUUGCCCCAGUUUGCUUGGAUUUUUCUUUCUUUGCAUUUUCUUCAUUGCAUUCUUCUUACUUUUUGCAUUUUUCUUCAAAAACUAGAUUUGCCCCAGUGUGGGGUUCUUUUCCCUUUUCAUUUCUCUUUCAAAAUAAAUUUGCCCCAGUGUCGGGGUUCUUUCUUUUCCUCAGAUCUCUUUCAAAUAUAAAUUUGCCCCAGUGUGGGGAUUUUCUUUUCUUUCUGAUCAUUUUUCAAAAUGAAUUUGCCCCAGUGUGGGGUUUGCAAUUCUCAGGGGUUGCCAAACGAAAAUUAUUGUUCUGAUAGCUCAAAGGAGAUGACUAGGGAUGAAAUGUUUUGAUUGGAAAGGAAGAUGGCCUGACUUUUGCCUCGUCUCUUGGAUGAUUUCCUAGAAGGAAUUUACAUAAUCAAAUAAAGAAUUUCUUACACAUGUCUGAGUUGAUAAGUUGAGGGAAAGUCGGUCCGUCCAUCUCUGUUAAAAACAAGUACUCCGCCCGGUAGCCCCUUUUGAACGACAAAUGACCCGGCCAGUUUAGAAUCAAAUUCACCUUUGACCUCAUCUUGCAAUGGCAACUUCGCUUUAGAACUUUGUCCCUUUUUCAAAGAAUCGCCGGUGGACCUUUUUGUUAUGAACACAGGCCAUGCGUUUUGACAACAUUGGUCAUGGCACAUAGCAUUCAACUGCUUUUCAUCAAUCAAAAUCAAUCGUUAAUGACACUGCUUUAACCAAUCAACUUUCAACCUGGCUGGAAAGGGAUUUUCUCAAAUGAAGGGAUUUAUCAAUGAAGGAAUUUCUCAAAUGAAGGGAUUUUUCCAUGGUUUUUCUCAAUGAUGACUUUCUCAAAGAAGGGAUUUCUCAAUGAAAGCUUUCUCAAAGAAGGGAUUUCUCAAUGAAGGGAUUUCUCAAAUGAAGGGAUUUUUUCAUGAAGGGAUUUCUCAAUGAAGGCUUUCUCAAAGAAGGGAUUUUUUCAUGAAAGGACUUUUUUCAAUGUAUGGCUUCAUCGGAUUCCGGAACAGGGAUAUUCAAAGGGUCAAAUAAUUUUAUUUUUGGCCAUCGAAAGAAUUUAGAAUGAAAUUGAAAAUGGUAAUCAACCAAUAUAAACAAAAUGGUAUCGAACAAACAAAAUGAUGAAAAGAUGCAAUUAUGCAUGCUAUUGAAACACAGGAGCUUGAUAAAAACUGUUUUAGCCAAAACUUGAAUUUGACAAAGCUAUUUACACAACAACAGUGAAAACUUUCAUGAAUUCUUAGCAAAUCACAAUCCCCAGAUUUACCAAAAUUCCCUUCAAGAGGGAAAACACUCGGCCAUCCAAAUUGUGCAAAGCUCCUUCAAGACUUUCAAAUUUCGUCUUUGGAGAUAGAUGCCUCAAAGGCGCCUUUGUGUUCGCGAAAGGGAUUCGUACUUAUGCUCGACCCUUGUUCUGCAUUUCUUCUAAUCACUAUUUCCCCCGCUUUGAUCAUUUCUUGAACUUUCUGUUUAAGUGCUCUACAACCAGUAGUUGGGUGGCCAGGUACUCCCGAAUGAUAGGCACAAGUAUACUGUGGAUUGUAUCCGGAACGGACGCCAUGAGGAUAAGUUGGAGGGGGAAUUUCGCCGAUUUUACCGGCGGCUUUUAAUUGUUCAUAUAAUUGGUCCAAAGGCCUGCCAAGAUUGGUGAAUGUUUGAGAACGAUUUUGAUCGUGGGUUUCAGUGGGUUGGGGGUAGUUGUAGGUGGGUCUGUUUGGUGGAGGCAUUCUUGGAUUGAGUGGAGGCCGAUGACGGUUUUGGUGAGAAUUUGGUUGAGAAAUUUGGAAAGGGGCUAAAGGCGAGUUGGUGUAAUUAGGGCAAGGUCGAGGAUGAGGGAUAUUGGUGUGAUAAACAGGAUAAGGGUUUGAAUAAUAGGAGUAAGGGUUUGAGUAGGUAGGGUAUUGUCGAAAUCUGGGCUUUGAAAUAGGGUUUCGAUCCCAAACAAAAGCAAUUUCCCCCUCUUGCCUUUUGGAUUGUUGCUUCUUCCCAUUACUACCUUGGCUUUGCAAAGCAUCCAACUGGGACUUGAGGGCAGAGACAUUAACAAUCUUCCUAGCUUUCACGAAGUCAUCGAACUCUUCAAGCUUAUUGACAAUAGCGGCAAACGAGCAUCCAGUCAUGCGAAAAAUUUCUUCAAAGUACGGCGGAUCAUGUGUCUUAAUGAAAGUGCGUAUGAUUUCGUCCUCAGUCAUUGGUAGCUCGACUUUGGCAGCUAUUUUCCUCCACCUCUUGGCAUAAGUCUUGUGAUCCUCGGAGGGUUUCCUCUUUGUCCCUUCCAACGUGGUUCGUGUUGGAGCCAGCUCGCAAUUAUACUCGUACUGCUUUACAAAAGCGUUGGACAAGUCAAGCCAGGUCUUCGCUUCUUGGGGUUUCAGCUUGAAAUACCAGUCGAGUGCAUCCCCCUCCAGACUUUCUGGGAAUAGCCUCAAAGGCAGAUUUUCAUCAUCUGCUAGCCUACCCAACUUGUUGGCGAACAAUCGGAGAUGCAUCUUGGGAUUGCCCGUCCCAUCAUAUUUGUUAAACUUCGGGGUUUUGAACCCUUCAGACAAUUGCACAUUUGGGAAAAGGCAAAGUUCAUCGUAAUCCAGGACUUCUUGCUUGUUCAACCCCUGACUCUUCCUUAUAAACUCAUCAAAACGGUCAAGGCGUUUGAGCAGCUUUAUAUCAACGGGAGCGGAAGAUUCCCCAAUUUCUGGCUUGGUUUGAAUAGUAUGGUCUGGUAGGAAAGGCUCAGCUGUAUCGUGAUAAAAGGUAUGCGGCUUAGGAGGUAUAUUCGAAGUGAUUUGGGGUUAUGGGCCUUGCAUGUAAGUAGGGAAGAAUGAAUGAUCAGGAGGGCAAGUGGAUGGCAAAUGUAUGGUGGGAUAUGUGAAAGUUCCUUCGGGUGGAAUAGGUAAAGAUGGAAUAACGGUGACUUGAAUUGAAGGGAUGACAAAUGGCUCUUGCUCAGCCUGCUUGACGGGUAUAGGUUCGGGUUGAACUCCGCUGCUGAUUAGCUUGUCAAUCAAUUUCCUUUGGGCCGCCAUCUCAGUGGUCAUCUUGUCGAACUUAGUGAGCAUCUCAGUCAACUGAAUCCCCAAACUCAUGGUCUCGGGUUGAGCGGUAAUAGCAGACCUAUCUGAUUGUUCCGGUUGUGAACUCAUGUUUACACGACUCCUUUGAGCUUGGCUACGGGAUCGUGUUAUGAUGGGGCUUCGACGAGAAGCUAUGUUUAAAUAUUACCUGAGAAUUUUGAAAGGAAUUGCCUUUAGAUUUAACCCUUGCUUAGUUAUUAUAAUAAAAAUAAAGAAAAGAAAGAGAAAAAGGCAAGAGUUAGUAGAUAUCCAGGAAAUUCGGAUGCAUGUCCUAUGGGGAAACCCUUUUUGUGCCAAGGGUAGGCCUAGCAUGAAAAUGCAAUCCUCUAGGGUAGGCACUAUACCAUACCUGAUGGAUCUGAUUAACUCAUUUAAGUGAAAAAUAAUUUUAAAAAAUUUGGUCAAUUGGAGUGACGAGAGACAUUUGUCAAAAUGAUGUCAACGUCCAAAUGGAUUGAUCACUUUUGAUCGAUACAAGAGUUUGCAAAAACGCACGGGUUUGACCUUGACGAACUUCCUAUCGAAGAGAUUGGAAUUCGUUGACCAAAUUUUUUCAGUGAAGCACGGGUCAAAACCCCAACUGAUCAAAUGGCUGGAUGCAAUGGAUGGUUUUCUCAAAAAUCGACUAAGUUCCCAAUUUGAAAUUCGACAUUGAAACCCUAAUUGGUCGAAUGGGUUUGAAUGAAAUUGACAAUUUAUUUAAAAUCGACCGAAUUACCCUAAAAAGGUAAACUGGUCAAAUGUAUCGGAUGAUUUAUUCAAAAUUGACAAGAUCACCCUAAAAAAGGAUAAAGUGGUCAAAUGCAUUGAAUGAAAUUUGAUUAUUUGUUCAAAAAUCGACCAGAUCACCCUAAAAAGGAUAAAUUGGUCAAAUGAAUUGAAUUAAUAAUUUAUUCAAAAAUCGACCAAAUCACCCAAAAAGGGUAAAUUAGUCAAAUGAAUUGAUUGAAAUUGAUGAUUUAUUCAAAAAUCGACCAAAUCACCCAAAAAGGGUAAAUUAGUCAAAUGAAUUGAUUGAAAUUGAUGAUUUAUUCAAAAAUCGACCAAAUCACCCUAAAAAGGGUAAAUUGGUCAAAUGAGAUGAAAUGGAAUUGAUGAUCUCUUCAAAAUCGACCAGAUCACCCAAAAAGGGUAAAUUGGUCAAAUGAAUUGAAUGAAAUUGACGAUUUAUUAAAAAAUCGACCAGAUCACCCAAAAAAGGGUAAAUUGGUCAAAUGAAUUCCAAAUCGACUAGGUACCCUUAAAAAUGAACAAGUUGAUAAAAUGGACUGGAUGAAAUUGAUGAAUAAAAUGAUCCAAUGGACUGAAUGGAAUUAACGGCUUAUUGCGAUGCAUUAGUCUAUGAGCCUUUUAAAAUCAAAUUUUGGCCUCAGUUUAUUUAUCGUCUCAAUAGCGAGGAAUUGUUUGUGAAUUUCUUCAAAUUAAUGUCCUUCACGCAAGGAAUUUUUACCAAUUUUUGAUAAAAUGGCCAAAAAGUGAUUAUUAGAUGCUCAUAUUCCAAAGAUCACUCUAUGAAAAUGAUCGGAUCCUACCUUACCUUGUGCACUACCCCUUUGGAUGGUACAAAAUGUAAACGUGCAAGUCUCACUGGAUUAAGUAUCCGAGACACAAUGUGGCUUAUUCCUAAACACGGGAUUCCCUAUGUGGCAUUCCCUUUCUAAGGUUUAUGCAUGAUGCCAUUUUCAUCAAAACAGGAAAAAUGCAAUUCGAAAUGAAACGUGACCUAAGGAACCCUUUAUUUGCCAGGGUAAGCCUAAAAUGGUAUGGCAUUAUUAAUUUAUGAACAAAAUAUACCGAAAUUUCUAAACGUGCAAUAGCCUAUCUACAAGGGUAAGUCCUAAAAGAAGAUCAUGCCAGACCUCUUACUUCCUAACGUUUGUGAAUGCAAAAGAUAAGAAACAAGGAAACGUUAGUUCAUAACACAUAAUCACAUAACACGUUGGACAAUUAGAUGAUAUAAAAGCAACAAAGAAUAAGGAAAGAGGGAUAGGACCCCUCCCCUCGUGAAUAGUGUUCCUAAUUUAGGGUAAGGUCGACUCUACCCUAGGCAAUUAAAAUGGAUGCAUGAGGUUUGGCUCACUAAUGCAUCUAGACUCGAUAAACUCAGGUCCCCGAGCAUUCAGACUUGGAAACCAAAGGUCAUCACUCCCAAGGUUCCUUGUCGGUGGCUCGAGCGAUUCCCCAGACAUUGCUACGCACACGUCGUGUCACGGCUACAUGUCUGAGUGAAUCUAUCAAAAUCCUCAAUCUUCGAUUAAAAGCUAUAGGCUAUUAACCCAAAGCUUAAAGCGGAAGAUUAAGUGACCCCUCGGAUCGUGCUACGCACACGUCGUGUCAUGAUCACACGUCUAAGUGGGUCGCCUAAAAUCCUAAUAGGGUGGAGUGGCGUGACAAGCCACUAAAAGAAAAAUAAAUGAGGGGUAAAAAAUUAAAGCGUAUGCACGUAUGCUAGUGCUCGUUUGGAAGGGAGGGAUCAAGAACCAACGCGAGGCUCUAGGGUGAUGUCCCCCACCCAAAUGCAAUGCAGGCGCGAAGUGAACAUACAUCCAAUCAAUCAAUCAUACAUUCGCGAACGAGGGAGUAGUUGGACACGUGUGAAAUGCAAAAAUCCUAAAAAGGAAAACUGCAACCCUAAAACACCCAAAUGUGAUAUAUGAAAGGGUUAAAAGAAGAAAAAGGUUGAUUAAAUCAAAUUUGCUCGGACUCUCAAAUUUCCCCAGUGGAGUCGCCAACUGUCGCGCCCCAUUUUUUGAUAAAAUAAAUAAAUGUUUGAAAAAAUGUAUUUUUUGUAAUUGGAAAAUGAAUUGUGAUUUGAAAAAAUGGAUCUAAAUGGGGGGGUUGAGAAUGCGACGAUUUGACCCAAAAUUAUAGUUUAAAAAGGGUUUUUUUUUUAAAUGAAAAUUGGAGUCGCCACUUGGUAAUGAGUUAAGGUGUACCAAGUCACCAAAAAAUAAAUUUUUAAAGAUUCAAUAGGAAGAAGUAGUAAGAAACCCCUUUUAAACGACUCCUAGUCUACGUAAACCAAAGAAAAAGGUUCGGGAGUCACAUUUGACAAAGGGGAAGGCAAGGAUAAAAUCCAAGGCAUCCCUUUGACCUAGCCAAGGCUAGUUGCAUGAUUUAGUCAAAGAUUUUCUUGUUUUAAUCAAAGAAUUUACCACAUUUGGAUGCACUACAUGAAUGCAAACCCUAGACCUAGGGGUAUUGGGGGAAAUUUCUCUUCAAAGGUUGAGUGGUGCCAAUCACAUUAAUUGCGAAGCCCAAUAACGAUCCUUUGAAGAAGUCACGAAUAAUGCGAGAGGGAUGCAAAUGAAUGGAAUGCAUGUAUGCAAUGUGAGGAUAUAAGUUUGAAAAAAUGUAAUAAAAGACAAUAAAUAUGUAAAUGAAAAUGUGCACGUGAGUGGGCAAGUUACGGUAUGUGAAAUGAUAAUAUGAAGUGCAUGUGUGCAAGUGAUAAUAAAAGUGUUCGUGUGCAAAUGAAGAAACAUAAAGGUGCACGUGUGCAAAGUGGGAGGAAAAAUGAAAGUGUGAUGAGAGUAUAAAAGGGUAGAGUAGAUUUAAAAAUGCAUGAGCCUAGGGAAUUCAUGCAUAUUGGGUACGGGGAGACCUAAAUCGUGACUCAAUUUGCCCUUUUAUAGAGGGAAUACAAGCGUGCUAAGGCUUAGAAAAAGCCACACUCGUCUAUAUCCCAUAUUAAGGGGACUCUCAAGCAAAUGAAUCCUAUAACUAGCAUGAAAUGCAAAAAUCCUAAAAUGCGAGGAAAAGGGGUUCGAGGGGCAUGCAAAAUGAUAAAACUAAAAAGAAUGCAUGACAUGUAAUGAACAUGCAAACAUGUACUAACGAGAGGAAAUCCCUAAGGGUCUAGCGUUGGACUAGCCCAUUCUAUGAAUUCCGACUAGCGUUGGACUAGUGGAAACGUACAUUCAUCCAUCACAUUCAUUCAUGGUCAUGGAAAGCGAGUAGACAUGCCAAACACUUAUAAACACAUAGCACAUAACAUUUACCAUGCUCGACUAGAUGCAAGGGUCUAAUAAAGCAAGUUAACACGUAGCACUUAAGCAUGCAAGUCACACAAAGCAAUUAAGGCCCUAACUAUUACAUUUGCUAGCUAGGCACAUGUCUUCAAUAGGUCUUCAUCGAAUGCUCCUCCAAGCCCUAUCUAUUACAAGCCAAGAGGUGUACACAUACCCCAUAAAGGAUAACUUGAAUAAAAAGCAAAAGUAAAUGACAUAAAUAAAAGAAAUUAAAGAAAGGCUAGGAAAGCAAAGUAGACAUGUAUAUUCACAUAACACGUAGGAGCACGUAGGAAAAAUAACGCAAGAAUAUAGAAGUUACCUCCCUUGCAAUGGAAAUCGAGUAAAUGAGAUAUUAGUUUCAAAACAAUAAAAAGGUCACGGUACCUCAAAUAGUAAAGUAUAACAAAGUCACCAAAUCCCCCCUAAUUGCAAUUUAAACAAAAUCAAAUAAUACAUAGUUUCUAAUAGAAGGAUCCGCCAAGGACCCAAUUGCAAGCAUAACAUUUGAAUUCCAUCGAGACAAUUAAGAACUUCAAAGGUCCCGAGAGCCAAGGAAAGAUCAAGUAAUGGUUCAAAUUCAAAUAUCUUAGGACAUAAUUUCAAGGACAUGGAAUGUAAUUGGGCCAUAAUGCAUUGUUGCAAAAAUCACGGGGACCCCAUUGAUUAGUUUUCUCAAUUUUGUGGGUCAUAAUAGCAUAAUGAAACUUGGGGGGGUUAAGGGGCAAUUUUUAGAAAAUACUUUCAUGCAGAACAUGCUAUCUUACGAAGGAAAAUCUGCUUCUGCAACUCAAAACAACAUUUCUGCAGCCAAGAAACCAUCGCAAUUUGCAUUUCAUUUCAUUACCUCAAGUAACAACGCUUCUAUCUCAAACAACUAAACACAUCACUAAGCAUUCAUCUCACUUUCCAUCAUAAGACACUUAUGUUUAAACAUCAGAAAUUCGGACAGGAGAUCAUGCAAAGCAUCAAAAUAACAUUCUGCAAUUUUUCCAGCCAACAGCUUUUCAUUCCUUUUCAUGGUGAAAGUGAAUUUUGAUGAAUAUCCAAAUUUUUAAAAGCAAAACGGGCAAACACGGAAAGUUCUAAAUCAUCCAUUCAGCCAAGCAUCACAUUUUUGUUUUGCCGCAAAAUCAGAGCUGGGAGUCUGAGUUGCUUAGCAGCAAAAGGAACGGCAAGAGACGCAAGCUCUUAUGGGCUUGUUGGUUCGGACACUUGAAAUGCAGCAAGGAUGGAAAGCAAGAAACUUAGGAUAGAUAUGCAUAACUGAACCCCAGAUCAUAGACCUUAAUCAAACUAAAACUUAAGCAACAAAACCAGAGAACUUUGACAUCUGAACCAGCAACGAGCACUUCCAAAUCAGGAAAGGAACAUGCCAUUUCCUUCAAUGAUUUCGCCUACAAUUUUCUGGUGUUUACUGCAAGUUUUUCUUUGUUAACAUGUCAAAACUCCGGGGUUAUGAUUUUAAACAACAAGCAUCAUAGAAAAAUCCAAUCAGCAAUCCAACAAAUCUUCACAAAAACAAACCAUGCCCAAAAUAUACAAAACAGGAAAAAGGAAAGCAAUGGCAAGAGAAACAUCAAAGAGCAAACAUGAUGGAACUAUGGAACGAACCAUCAAACCAGCGGCAAAGAGGGUGACGAUUCAUGUAUCUACUUGGCAGAAUCAUGGUUUUCUAGACUACAAAUUCUGGGUUUGCUUGUAACAAGCCAUAAACUUCAAGCAAGACUCAUAGAUUCACCGGAUGAAAUCAUAUAGAAAGCCUAAAUCCCUACCUCAGAACCCAGUCCAAACCCACGAAAUAUUUCACCAAACAGAAACGUAAAACAGUGGCAUCAACCUGAGCACAUUCAUAGCAAAGAUUCACUCCUCAGAAAGUGCAGAAACGGUAUACUUACAGAGAUAAAAACCUGAGAAAUCGAUGGAAGUUGCACAGAUCUAUGGAGGGAAAGUCCUCUCUUCAACAAUUUCCAGGAGUGACGCGUUUGUCACUUCGAGCGUCGAUUCCACAUGCCUGGAGUUGUUUUCGCCCAGCUGAAACCCUCUUGUCCCUUUUCUCGUUCCUUUUCUUGUUCGUUUAUCUCCUUCCUCACUUCCUAACCUAGCCGCUGCACCCCACUAUCUCCUCUAGCGUUUUCUGUUUCCCUCAGCCAUCACCUCCCUAGUUUUCAAAAACCUUUGCUCUCUCUUGUUUCCUUACUCCGCCGCAACUCUUAUCUGCUGCUUCCCCUUCAAGCUCACCGAAAACUCAGCCCUCAAUCUCGUUCUCUCUUUCUUCUCCCGUUUUUCUUUUCAUCAGCUCUCUCCCCUGUCUUAAAAUUUUCUCGCCGUCACUUACUUCCCUUUUAUGCAGCCACCAACCUCUCCAGUCGUUUCCUUUUUGCUUUUCUUUUUCUCGGCCCUCC